rnacentral:rRNA from 1 species
GAGUUUGAUCAUGGCUCAGGACGAACGCUGGCGGUGCGCCUUAUGCAUGCAAGUUGAGCGAAGCUUUUCAGUAGUUUACUACAGAAAAUGACUGAGCGGCGAACGGGUGAGUAACGCGUGAGCAAUCUACCUUAGUUACUGGGAUAGCCCGAGGAAACUCGGAUUAAUACCGGAUAUUCUUAUUUUUUCACAUGAAGUUUUAAGGAAAGGUCAGCCGAACUAAGAUGAGCUCGCGUUCUAUCAGCUAGUUGGUGGGGUAAAAGCCUACCAAGGCUACGACGGAUAGCUGGUCUGAGAGGACGAUCAGCCACACUGGGACUGAGACACGGCCCAGACUCCUACGGGAGGCUGCAGCAGGGAAUAUUGCGCAAUGAGCGAAAGCUUGACGCAGCGACACCGCGUGUGGGAUGACGGUUCUAGGAUUGUAAACCACUUUCAGGAGGGAAGAAAAUGACGGUACCUCCACAAGAAGACCCGGCCAACUACGUGCCAGCAGCCGCGGUAAUACGUAGGGGUCAAGCGUUGUCCGGAUUUAUUGGGCGUAAAGAGCUCGUAGGCGGUUCAACAAGUCGGUCGUAAAAGUUUAGGGCUCAACCCUAAAAUGUCGAUCGAUACUGUUGUGACUAGGAUACGGUAGAGGUGAAUGGAAUUCCGAGUGUAGCGGUGAAAUGCGUAGAUAUUCGGAGGAACACCAAUUGCGAAGGCAGUUCACUGGACCGUGAUCGACGCUGAGGAGCGAAAGCUAGGGGAGCAAACAGGAUUAGAUACCCUGGUAGUCCUAGCUGUAAACGAUGGAUACUAGAUGUAGGAACUGGAUUGACGGUUUCUGUAUCGUAGCUAACGCGUUAAGUAUCCCGCCUGGGGAGUACGGUCGCAAGACUAAAACUCAAGGGAAUUGACGGGACCCCGCACAAGCGGCGGAGCAUGCGGCUUAAUUCGAUGAUACCCGUAGAACCUUACCUGG